UUCUAUUGGCUGACUUGAUUAUGACAUCACUGUUCUGUUUCCCUGGUUACUGAUUAUUGUGGGUCUAUGCAGUUGGUCUUUCACUCUCCCUUCCCGCUGUUCUUGAGAGCUUUGCUGUCUCCUUGCAGGUCUCAAAAUCUUGUUAGUCCUUUUAAGGUCCUGAGUCUUCCUGUCAGUUCUGAUUGGUUCUUGUUGACUUUGUAAACCAGUAGAAGGACACAGCUCAGAGACACUUCCCAUCACUUCUCAAGCUGCUCUGACCAUCUCUCCCUUUAAUUCUGUGAAAAUGAAACUGUGGGUCUUUUUCCUGCUUCUAGGUUUUGCCUUCACCUUGGUGACUGCAGGUUAUGGCAGAUAUGGAGAAGGAAGCCAAUCUAACCGUGUCUUUUGGAAUUCUGGCCGUAGCUCUGGUCAUGAGGGCCGUGGAACAAGCCGUUCUGGUGGUGGUGAAAGUGAUUCUUUUCGAAGCACCUAUGAAGCAUAACGUGGUGGGGUUCUGUCACUUUUGAUGGAUCCUGAUAAUGCUCUUAUCAGUUGCUAGUAAAAUUUAUAUUAUCGGAUAAUAAAAAAUAGCAACAUUUAUAAUAAAAACCAAAAGUAUUGCAGAAAAA